rnacentral:rRNA from 1 species
UACGUAGGUGGCAAGCGUGUCCGGAAUCACUGGGCGUAAGGCGCGCGCAGGCGGCGAUCUACGUCUGGGGUGAAAGCCCGGAGCUCAACUCCGGGACUGCCUUGGAUACGGGAUCGCUUGAGGAUUGGAGAGGCAAGGGGAAUUCCACGUGUAGCGGUGAAAUGCGUAGAUAUGUGGAGGAACACCUGUGGCGAAGGCGGCGAUCUGGCCCAACAUUGACACUGAGACUCGAAAGCGCGGGGAUCAAACAGG